CGUCACCGGCUUGACUAGGAAGGUCAAUUGUGGCUGCCGGCGCGCCCACGCCUACUUUAUGCGCGGGGUCGCCGGCGCAUGCGAGGAAUAGUCUCGGCUGCGCGAUACUACGCCGUCGGGAGGUCCGUGUGUCCGGCUCCUUGGUGGUGGCAGACAUGCUGUGCCGGCUCAGCCUUCGGUGGCUGCGGCCGCUGCCUGCCCUGCGGCUCGGGGCCCUGGGCCCGCAGCUCGCGCCCGUCCUAACGGGCGGCAUGAGGCGCUCCGCUCUGCCAGUGUGGGCAGCCUCGUCAGUCUCUGCAGUUGCCCCGGGUGGCGCGGGAGGCUGGUACGAGGCCCUGGCUACGUCGGCUCCGGUACAGGGCGCGGAGGCGCUGCUGCUCUGCGCGCACACCGCCACGGGCCUGCCCUGGUGGGGCAGCAUUCUCCUCACCACCAUGGCCCUGCGCGGCGCCGUCACGCUGCCCCUGGCCGCCUACCAGCACUACAUCCUGGCCAAGGUGGAAAAUUUGCAGCCAGAAAUAAAAAACAUUGCAAGGCAUCUUAACCAAGAAGUUGCAGUUCGCGCAAAUCAGUUGGGGUGGUCCAAAAGAGUUGCCAGGCUUACUUAUCUAAAGAUUCUGCGGAGGCUUGUUUCAGAGCUGUAUAUUCGGGAUAACUGCCACCCUUUCAAAGCCACUGUAUUGGUCUGGAUCCAGAUUCCAAUGUGGAUCUUCAUGUCUGUUGCUCUCCGGAAUUUUAGCACAGGGGCAGCACAUUCAGAAGCAGGUUUUUCUGUUCAGGAGCAGUUAGCUACUGGUGGGGUCCUGUGGUUUCCUGACCUCACUGCCCUGGAUUCCACUUGGAUUCUGCCUGUCUCCGUGGGUGUCAUCAAUUUAUUAAUAGUGGAGAUGUUUGCUCUGCAGAAAAUUGGAAUGUCUCGUUUUCAGACAUAUAUUACAUACUUUGUUCGGGCGGUAUCAGUGUUGAUGAUUCCAAUUGCAGCCACAGUACCUUCAUCGAUUGCUCUGUACUGGUUAUGCUCCAGCUUCAUGGGCCUUUCACAGAACUUGCUGCUGCGUUCCCCUCGAUUUCGCCAACUUUGCCGAAUACCGUUAACCAAGUCAGAUUCACACACUCCUUAUAAGGACCUCUUUGCUGCCUUGCAUGCCAAGUUCAGUUCAAGAAAAUGACAUACUUUCUAGUAAUUUUGGAACAAUGACAGUGUAUUCAUUCUUAAUGUAUUUAGAACAUCGAGAAAUUCAGAUAUGAUUUAAUUUGCUUUUGUUUAAAAUCAUGAGCCCUGUGAAGUACUGUGGAUUAAGAUAUAUUUGGACACUUAAAAUCUUUUAAGUGCUAAAAAUGUAUGUUUAAUUAUAUACUAAGAAUAUAAGAGGGGAAUCAAAGUGUUGGGCCCUGUUUAUAAAAUUACAACUUAUUAGAGGUGCCAGAACCUUGGAGAACAAGACUAGAAAAGUUUUACAAAAUAAGAGCAUCCAAUGAGGUGAUUCUUAAAAUUUUGGAGGUGUGGAAGAUCAUAUACCUGCUUGAGUAUUUGAUAAAGCCAUGGUUUUCUCUUGAGAAAAGUCCUGGAACUCGCAUCAUGGAGACCUUUAUUGACCCCCUGAAGGCCUUCUGCCCCGGAAGGCCACAGCCUUUAAGAGCUUCGAACUGUCAGCUGCUGGAAUCCCAACAAACAAACAACUGAACCAAACUUCAUUAGGUAAGGACUAACACAGCUACAGAGAGGGAGCAGUUAAUUCCAUGGCUCUUGAAAGUACUACCUUGACUGCAGUCAUUUGUGGAAUACAGUCUAAAAGCAAAAAGGACUAUUAGAAAUCUUAGAACUUUAUUUGGUAAUUGUAUUGCUGCUCUAUACCUCUUACUGUGAAGUAAAAUGUAUAGUGAUGUUUACUGGUAUGUUAGUUUUCCGUGGUUGCUGUAAUAAAUUCUUCAUGCUGCUUAUGCACCAAGAGGAAGAUACUACUGAAUAAAUUAGUUGGAGAUAUUAUGAGAUAUAUCUCUUUCAAAUUUUUCCUUUAAAGCAUAGGUUUAGGGGUUGCCCCUGAGAAAAAAAUUUGUCCCGAAGAAGAGGGUCUUCCCCACAAUUCUCUACCCCUACAUCAGAAAGCCUAACCUCCAUGUCUGUUUCACCUAAGACCUUCCACAAUCUUGAUUAAGAAUUGAUGAAAGUAAAUUCAUAAUUAUGACAAGAUGAGGAAGAUUUAAACAUACAAGUUGUUUUUGCUCCUUUGGGCCUCACCUCCUUAGGAGAUAACAUUCCUUAAUCUCAUCAAGGAACACAACUCUUUAGCGGGUAGCCUUCCUCCUUAAUCUUGUGAAGGGACAGGAUAACCCAUGACUCACUUGGUACCUAUACGUCUGAACUGUGUAAACUAUCAGUAAUAAGUCAUUUGACAUAAUCCUUUGUCUCAAAAACAUAUAACUGCUUUGACCUCUAAUGGCAGGAUAGUAAUCAAGAGCUUUCGGAAAGACUGUCUCCCAGAUUAUAAUUAUCAGGUUGACUUGAAUAAAAUUUUCCAUUUUUCUCUUAGAUAGACCAUUGAUUAAUUUUUUGUCAACAGAGCUGUAUACAAAAACAUUUUGAUCCUGGUUGAUUCCCAUCCAUAGAAAUGAUAAGGCCUGCAGAUACCACAAGAAAAGGAAAAACAACAACAAUAACAAAAAACCAAGAAAGCACUUUCACACAGAAACCUCUCCUAGUUCUUAGAACAGGAACUUUUUGCUUUGCUGUAACUUGAACAUGAGGGAGGUGCUGAUAUAACUGUCCCAAAGGAAUAGGUAACAAGCCCUGUUGCCUUGUAUUCUACCACCGACUGUCUUCUUGACUGCCAAGUUUUUAGGUAAGUUUUCUAAGAUAGCCUUACCUUUAAUUGCCUAGGCCUGUGCUGCUGAUUUUGUACUAUAAAAUACUUUCGGGUGUUUGGGAACAAAAGCAUGGUUGAAAGUCCUUAAAGUGCUUCAAGAAAGCAGCCACUCUUAUUCAUUUAUUCUAUCUAAGGCAACAAAAAAGAAAAUGCUAUCCUUGAAGGUCUCUGCUAGACUCCAGAGGGCCAAGAAUUUCAUGAAAAAGAAGCCUCUAGGGAAAAUGCCUAAUUUCUGUCUUUUCCAUUUUGAGAAAAUUUCACGAGGAAUGCUUCCCUUCCUUUGGAUCCCUGAUAAGCCAGUUACAUUUAUUUGUCCUUCGUUGAUAAAGCAGCAUUAUAUUUAAUUUAGCUUUGGUUUUUGUCUUAUGGCUAAAUUGUAGCUCUUCAGGGAAACUUAAAACUGAAAUAUGAAACAUAUCUAACGGUAUCCAUUUCAUUGCAGCUGCAUUUCUGUGUGUUCCAAGGGUAGUACAACUAAUAAUUUGAGGACUUUCUUCUAAUUAUAACCUCAAGCCUCCUGUAUCCUCUGUGAGUGAUGGAUGCUUCUGAGGGUAAGGAGUAUUAAAAAUAUGAAUUCUAUAUUUAUGAGAGAGUUAACAGCUUAUUCCAUACUAUUCAAAAUGUAUCGUGUCUUUUUGUGAAGUUUUAUUACAGAAUCUUCGGUUUUGCUUAUAUAAAUUUUCAAAUACAAAUGUUUCAUUUUGGGAUCCAAAUAAAAACUGCAAGUUUACAUUCAAAAUUACUGUUAGAACCAAGUAGAGAUUUUGAAAUGAGAUAUCUUCUCCCUCAUCUUUAACUCGCACCUAUGUAUGUGAUAAGGUCUUAUUUCACUUUAAAAUACAGCUGGUCCUCAUUAUGCGUAGUUUAAUAUUUAUGAAGUCACCUACUCACUAAAAUUUAUUUGUAAGAUGCUCACAAUGCUUUUGCAGUUAUUAGCAGACUUGUGCCUUCAAACUCAGAGCAGAAAAAAGUUUGAGCCCACCCAGUGUACACAUUCCCAGCAGGGAUCAAACAAAGUGACGCUGCCUUUUUGUUUCAGCUCUCAUACUGUAAGGACAUUGUGUUUAUGUGUCCUUCUUGUGGUCUGUUUAGUGCCAUGUUUUUCUCAUUUUUAUAGUUUUUUAAGAUGGCCUCUGAGCACUAAGUGGAAGAAGUCUGUGAUGUCCUCACAGAGGAAGUAUGUGUGUGAGACUUUUUCUGUAGCAUGAACGUAACUAGCUCACAGAUGGAGUCUGUUUGCAGUAUCAGCACCAAUGGAUUUAUUUCUGUGUCCUUUCUGCAUUGUUGAGAUGAUUCAGACAUGUGCGUGAACCAUCCAACAGCGGCUCCUCCAGCCCCAGUCAGGCCUUCAGGUGAGGCUGCAGCGUCUGCCAACAUCAUAACUGCAGAUCUAUGAGAGACUCUCCUCUAGACCCACCCAGGUAAUCCCUUAUGAAUUCCUGACUCUGAGCAGAAACUGAAUAAAACUUACUGUUUAAACCGCUUAAGUUUCAGAGUAAUAUUUAAUGCAUAAAUGGAUACCUAAUACAACUACAUUAAAUUAAAAACUUUUAAAGGAAUAAAACUCACUUGCAGCCCCUUUAA